UUUCUCCAAACAAAAAAAAAUUAAUAGAUCAACAGUAUCCUCUAUUUUUCUCUGCAAGUCAUGUCCAAACUUUUGUAUUCGUAUUUGUUCAUCUCCAUGCUUCUUCUCUCAGCUUCUUUGGCUUUGGCAAUUUCACAAGGAGAGGGACCAAAGUUGUGUACUCGCGCCAUAAAACUUAUCAGGCCAUGCAGUUUUCCAAAAUGCAACGAAAUUUGUUCUAAAACGUACGACGGGGAUGGCCAUUGUGAAGGACCUCAUACGUGUGGUUGUGUUUACCUUUGCUAAGCUGAGAUAUAUCUCCUCUAUGAUGAUUAUGCCUAUUAUGGUUGUUGAAAAAUGCGGUAGAGGGAGAUGAGAAACUUCACAAAUUA